GGGGUCGUAGUUCAGUUGGUUAGAAUGCCGGCCUGUCACGCCGGAGGUCGCGAGUUCGAGCCUCGUCGGCCCCG
rnacentral:tRNA from 1 species